rnacentral:misc_RNA from 1 species
GAUGAAGAACGUAGCGAAAUGCGAUAAGUAAUGCGAAUUGCAGAAUCCGUGAGUCAUCGAAUCUUUGAACGCACAUUGCGCCCUUUGGUAUUCCGAAGGGCAUGCCUGUUCGAGCGUCAUUAUCACCACUCAAGCCCGGCUUGCUGUUGGUGGCAGCGCAGCCGGUCAACCGGCUACGCUCCACCCAAAGAUAAUGACGGCGUCUGCGAGGACUCCUGUACAUUGAGCUUUCGGGCACGUACAUGGCUAGAAGUCCAGGCGCCGGUCGACGUCCUCCGGGACACUUUUUACCAAGGUUGACCUCGGUUCAGGUAGGGAUACCCGCUGAACUUAAGCAUAUCAAUAAGCGGAGGA